CCUCGGAUCAGGUAGGGAUACCCG
rnacentral:ncRNA from 2 species